CAGUGACAUCAUAAAUAAAACAGGCCAGGAAAAGUGAAGAUGAAUCUAUUGGUGCAAAUAUUUAUAGCAGUGGUAAUGUUGAUGGCUGGGGCGGAUUCCUCAUCAGAUGUCAUGAAAGAGUUCGCAAUAAAUUUUGGUAAAGCCUUAGACAUGUGCAUUGAAGAACUUAAUCUUCCGGAUUCCGUAAAUACGGAUAUCUACAACUUCUGGAAAGAGGACUAUGAGGUCACUGAUCGUCUGACAGGCUGUGCCAUCAAGUGUCUGUCAGAAAAGCUGGAGAUAGUGGAUUCUGAGGGGGAGUUACAUCACGGGAAUACUGAGGAGUUUGCGAUGAAACACGGAGCUGAUGACGAAAUGGCCAAACAACUGGUAGAUCUGAUCGACGAUUGCGACAACUUUGUUCCUGACAAUGAAGACGUCUGCAUCUUCGUGCUAGACAUUGCCAACUGUUUCAAGAAGGGGAUCCACAACCUCAAUUGGACUCCGAACAUGGAUCUUGCAGUUGGGGAAGUUUUAGCUGACGUUUAAGAAUACACCCGAUGAUACUACUCUAGCACUUUCUGUCAAUUAACUUACAAAUUUAUACUUGUGUAUAUAUUUGGUUUUACUUGUCGUCUGUAUGUAAAUUUGUGUCUGUAAAUCUUAAUUCCGCUGGUCUUACGUCGCCAACCGGCGCGCCGAUUCAGUUUCUAUGACAAUGUAUUAUUUUGCACUCAGGAUCGGCUACCUACGAGGAAAUUCCGUAACGACGUCAUAGGUUGAAUGUAACAAGACCACCUUGAUUAAUAAAUUUUAUCAAGGUGGUCUUGUUAAAUUCAUCGAAUAAACAAUUUUAAUAACAUUAACCUAUGUAUCAUUAUACAUACUUUAUCUGAAGUUACAUAAUUCAAUCUGAAAUCGAAGUUUAACUGGACUGGUACCUAAUGACCAAUCUUCAUAGUAUGUCAGUCGCAAUCAACAAUCACACAAUCAUCUAAAAAGCCGAACGUACCAUUAGGGAGUAAUUAAAAAUCAUUACCAGUGGUAUAUAAACGUCGAGAAGUUAUGUGGAGAGGUUUUUAUCCGCGAUCUUUGAAGAUGUCGCGUGUUCUCUUUUUCUUUUUCGCAAUGUUAUUAGUCGGCGUGAGCAAGACGGACGCUUCGCAAGAAACUUUGAAGCAUAUCACAUCAGGAUUUCUUAGGACGUUGGACCAGUGCAAGCAUGAGCUCCAACUGCCAGACCAUAUAGUGUCAGACCUUUACCACUAUUGGAGGGAGGACUACUCUCUCCUCAACCGGGACACAGGCUGUGCCAUCCUCUGCAUGAGCAAGAAGCUGGACAUGGUGGACUCUGAAGGGAAACUCCACCA